rnacentral:rRNA from 1 species
GCAGCAGUAGGGAAUCUUCGGCAAUGGANGAAAGUCUGACCGAGCAACGCCGCGUGAGUGAAGAAGGUUUUCGGAUCGUAAAACUCUGUUGGUAGAGAAGAACGUUGGUGAGAGUGGAAAGCUCAUCAAGUGACGGUAACUACCCAGAAAGGGACGGCUAACUACGUGCCAGCAGCCGCGGUAAUACGUAGGUCCCGAGCGUUGUCCGGAUUUAUUGGGCGUAAAGCGAGCGCAGGUGGUUUAUUAAGUCUGGUGUAAAAGGCAGUGGCUCANCCAUUGUAUGCAUUGGAAACUGGUAGACUUGAGUGCAGGAGAGGAGAGUGGAAUUCCAUGUGUAGCGGUGAAAUGCGUAGAUAUAUGGAGGAACACCGGUGGCGAAAGCGGCUCUCUGGCCCGUAACUGACACUNAGGCUCGAAAGCGUGGGGAGCAAACAGGAUUAGAUACCCCCGUAGUCCGG